rnacentral:misc_RNA from 1 species
AUAAAUUUAUCACACCGUUCUGAGCCAAAAAGACCUUUAUUGCACGUUCUUACAUGGUCUAGGGAUAAAAACAAAAGAACAACUUAAACCUAUCGAUUGUAACUAGAACUAUCUUCUAGUUACUAUUUUUUGUAACUAACGCAUCUGCAUAUGGAUGGCGAGCACGACUCACGUUGUCAUUUUCAACAGUAUUCGAUAAAGGGCUGAGUUAUAAGCCACAUUUUGCAGUACGUUCAUGCAUUUGGUAAUAGUUUCCUUUUGAUGAAUAAUUUACAAGUUAAACAGAACGAGAAGCUGACGAUUUCCAAUUUAAAUUUUUCUAUUGAAGAAGGAAGAAAAAAAAAUGAUCCCAAAUGUUUAAAAUCAUAAUAAAGAAAGGCAUAU